rnacentral:sRNA from 1 species
GAAGUCUUCCACUUAUGACCAGAAUGGAUACAGUCUAGGCAGAAGCAGUGCAGGCUUCCCCACACUGUUGAUGGGGAGACCACUACUUGAGGGGAAAGGGUAGCUAGUUC